CUUUGUCUGAGUCACUCUCUUACAGACAUAGCAGUCUCCCAGGUUUCAUGUCUUACUGAGAUGAUCAUGACAGCCUCCUAGGCUCUAUGUCUACCUGUGAUGGCCAUGGUGAACUCUUAGUUUAGAGUUACCCUGCGAUGGGCAAGGGAGGCCUUAUGGCAGCAGGAGAUCCAUCUCCCAGAUAUGCUGUCACCUUGCAACAGGCAUAGCAGCC